rnacentral:rRNA from 1 species
GCGGUAAUUCCAGCUCUGUAAGCGUAUACCAAAGUUGUUGCAGUUAAAACGCUCGUAGUCGGACGUUGGCGGGCGCGGCAAGGCGUCCUCACGGGCGUUCUUGUUGCGGCCGCCUUUGUGGAGGGGGGCCUGGUGGUGCUUCAUUGCCUCUCCAGGUCGCUGCCACCAUUUACUGUGAAAAAAUUAGAGUGUUCAAAGCGGGCGUUUGCCAUGAAUACAUUAGCAUGGAAUAAUAGAAUAGGACCUGGUCCUGUUUUGUUGGUUUGUGAGUAUCAGGUAAUGAUUAAGAGGGACGGUUGGGGGCAUUUGUAUUCCAGCGCUAGAGGUGAAAUUCUUGGAUU